rnacentral:rRNA from 1 species
UAGGGAAUCUUCCACAAUGGACGCAAGUCUGAUGGAGCAACGCCGCGUGAGUGAAGAAGGUUUUCGGAUCGUAAAGCUCUGUUGUUGGUGAAGAAGGAUAGAGGUAGUAACUGGCCUUUAUUUGACGGUAAUCAACCAGAAAGUCACGGCUAACUACGUGCCAGCAGCCGCGGUAAUACGUAGGUGGCAAGCGUUGUCCGGAUUUAUUGGGCGUAAAGCGAGCGCAAGCGGUAGAAUAAGUCUUAUGUGAAAUCCCUCGGCUUAAACGAGUAACUGCAUCGGAAACUGUUUUACUUGAGUGCAGGAGAGGAGAGUGGAAUUCCAUGUGUAGCGGUGGAAUGCGUAGAUAUAUGGAAGAACACCAGUGGCGAAGGCGACUCUCAGGUCGGCAACUGACGCUGAGGCUCGAAAGCAUGGGUAGCGAACAGG